UUUAUGGUACCAAGUCACACUUUGCAGCCACUGUCGUUCUCCGUCGGAAAAAAAAAUAAAAAAAAUUCAAUCCUUAUGUCUUGGAUAUUGCUCCGGGAAAACAAAACUGGUCUGUUUGUUGAUGUUGCUUGAUUUAUUCCGGCCAUUUUCUUCUCUAUUUCUUUUUUGCACAUUUUUUUUGCAAAAACGACGCCGUACUGAGAUUUCCUUCAUUUUUUUGCACUGCAGCCCAUUUCUUUUCCCCUUUUCUUCGUAUUCUACUGGACAGAUUUUUCCUUUGUUUUUCCGAAUACUAUUUUUUUGUUUGUUGGAUUAAUUUAUGUUCAUAAUGGUUUAGGAUGUGUACCUUUCUUCUGGGGAGCCGAUUCCAUCAAUUAUUGUUGUUUUUUUCUGACGAUGAAGCUACUGUAGAUAAGGCCUGAGGGGAAAUCUUAUGCACAAUUUCGUGAAGGUACAGUCCAGAUGAAUUAUAGUUUGUGCUGCCAUUGAAGAAAACAUAGAUUUUUUUUUCUUUAAUUUAAUUGCAUGAUCAUUUAUGCAAUUAUGCCUCUUUCUCUUCUAUAUUUUUCCUGCAUUGUACCGUUGAUAAGUGUCUCAUACGUCUUUUAUUUAUUCGUAGGCUGUUAUUUUUCAUCUUCUGGAGGCUUGAGAAGUUUUGAAAUUGCUCACAAAGAAUUAACGUUGAUACCGUGGAUUAACAGUUCAGGGCAUUUGUGGAUUUACUUUCGAAAUCUGACGAGGGUUCUCAAAAAGAGGAUUGAAUCCC
rnacentral:lncRNA from 1 species